rnacentral:rRNA from 1 species
UACGAAGGGGGCUAGCGUUGUUCGGAAUUACUGGGCGUAAAGCGCACGUAGGCGGAAUUGUCAGUCAGAGGUGAAAUCCCGGGGCUCAACCUCGGAACUGCCUUUGAUACAGCAAUUCUCGAGUCCGAUAGAGGUGAGUGGGAUUCCUAGUGUAGAGGUGAAAUUCGUAGAUAUUAGGAAGAACACCGGUGGCGUAGGCGGCUCACUGGUUCGGUACUGACGCUGAGGUGCGAAAGCGUGGGGAGCAAACAGG